AAUUGCUUGAGUUUGAUCCUUUGCUGUGUUCGUUCCAUUAAUUCUACUUCUUUGCAAGUCUUUUCCCUUAAUGAUCUGUUUUUUUAUAAAAAAAAGAAGAAAACUAAAAAAAACAUUGACCGAUCAUAGCUUAGGUUAAUUAUGUUUGUUGUUGGAAGCGAGCUGGUAUCAUCCAUGGAGGCGUCUAAGUGAUUAUCCUGAACCUUUCAUUCGUUUCUUUCUUUGCUAGCUGGAUUCCAUACAGAGCUAAAGGCCUUCUCCAUUUCAUUGAGCAAUCAGUACCUUUUCGCACAUAUUUUCUUUUCUCAAGUUAAGGUAAUGAAAUUCCCAUUCCCAUUCUCUCCGCGCCUCUUUUACUUGCAAUGACUCACUCACACGUUCUGUAUCCUUGUUUCUGUGAUUUUGGCACAUAAUUAGCUGCAUAUUACUUUUUUAUUGUUGUGUUUUAAUUAUAUGAUUAUACGAUGGUAGGAGUUCUUAGUCUGCGUGAACAGCAGAACACCA